CUGCAUUACAACAACUAGGAAAACUCGAAUGGAACGUUAAUGAAGAUCCCCAACACAUUUCCUCCCUUCCUUCCUGGUUUUCAUCCCCUCCAGGGGGUAGAGUAUUUGCUAACAUCACAUGCUUUAUAAAUUUUUCCAAUCACUAGCAUUGCAAUUGAGGGAAUUUUCGACUAAAGUGCUGCAUCUUUACUCUCAUCCCCAAAUGGAUUUCUGCAGCCAUUACACAUUUGUUUUUCUUUAAGAAAAACAAGUGGAGAUCCCAAUGGAAAAUGGUCUUUGAUAAAUAAGAGCUCCUUCAGGUGGUUUUACCCAACCAUUUGAAAUCACAGUUGCCAUAAAUGAUCUCUCAUAUUUCCGCAAGGCAAUUCUGUUAGCAGGAUUGCUCCCAGGGGGCUCUUUUACAAUUCUACAUGUUUCAUUCAUGGGAAAAACUAGCAAUAUUCACCUUAUGCCAUUGAAGCAGAAGAUUCCAGGGAUAAACUAGGAAUGCUUAGAAACCCUAGGAAGAAUAUUGGUGAUCUGGAAUGUCUGAUCACCAUGGCUUUGGAUUCUGUUUUGUUUUUCUAUUCAAGUGCCUGUCAAAAACUCCAUUUAUGUUUUCUUUGCUACUUAAAAAGAUCUUGCUUAGAGACCUCUGACACAAGAAGUCAAAUUCAAGAGGAGACCACCUGAAAUCUGAACCUGUCAUCUGUAAAAGGACCUUCCAGAUCCAACGGAUGUCUCAUUCAAUCAACUUCACUAGGAGAAAAAAAAUGGUUUUCUUAUUCUCGUGGCCUUUGAUUUUUCCUCAGAGUUUCUGCUAGUUAGUUGGAAACCAGGUAAGUGACUGACUAUCCCAUGGAUUUUUGUGUGCUAAUGAAGUUGGUCUUUACUGUUGACCAACCCUUGUUUCAUAAUGUGUUGUGCUGGCUCAUGC
rnacentral:lncRNA from 1 species